rnacentral:rRNA from 1 species
GUAGUCCACGCCGUAAACGAUGAACACUUGGUGUUGGAGGUAUUGACCCCUUCAGUGCCGCAGCUAACGCGUUAAGUGUUCCGCCUGGGAAGUACGGUCGCAAGAUUAAAACUCAAAGAAAUUGACGGGGGCCCGCACAAGCGGUGGAGCAUGUGGUUUAAUUCGAUGCAACGCGAAGAACCUUACCUGGGUUUAACAUCCCGGUGACCGGUAUAGAGAUAUACCUUUCCUUCGGGACACCGGUGAUAGGUGCUGCAUGGCUGUCGUCAGCUCGUGUCGUGAGAUGUUGGGUUAAGUCCCGCAACGAGCGCAACCCUUGCCUUUAGUUGCCAGCAUUAAGUUGGGCACUCUAGAGGGACUGCCGACGUUAAGUCGGA